GAUCAGUCAGUAAGAAUGGACAGUUAGUACAGUUGGAAUGAGUAUAGUGGAGCAGGAAACACAGUUGGAGGGUGAGAGUAGGGUCAUCUUCCUGUCUUCUCCCUGGUACUGUGGUCAUUGCCCUGUUUCUCAGAAGAGUUUGAAGACAGAAGUGAUUUCAAAUUCUCACUAAUUAAAAUGGAGGCUAUCAGCAUGUGCCUGAAGUCCUGCUGCUGCUGCAGAGGAAGUGCUUCCAAGACCAAGAUAACCAGGCAAUCAUAGUAGAUGCAUCAAUGCACCCUUGCCCAAGGGCCUAGACAAGAGGUAUUGUUUAGCUUCACAUGAAUUUUAUCACCUUGCCUAGAACGAGCCACCAUCUGCCAGGGCUCCUGACUUUUUCUGAAAUGAAUAGACACUAAAGCCUGCUGGGGAAUUUCAUAGAAAUCAAGAUGACUCAACCCAGAGUCCAUUUCAAGGCUAGGAUGCUAGAGGACACCAACAAAGGAGUAGGGAAGUGAAAUGGAUCAGCUCACAUCCAAGCCCUUGCAUGAUCAAUCCUGCAGUAGGAGUGCUGCUCAGUUGGGACUCGUGAGAGCCCGGAAGAGGAAAAGGCUCUAAGCAUAGCAAAGAAGCUGUUAUGGAAAAGACUCAAAUGUUAAAAUGGUGGACAUAGUAAAGUGAUUUGUUCUGCUUAGGGGAAUCUAGAUCCCCACAUUUGGACCUCCACUGGAGUCUCAGAAGAACAAGUGCCAGUGGGGCUUGCCACAGAGGCCAAGGCAGUGAAUGUCAGGCACAUCACAGUCCCCAAGAUGGGGAGAAGACUGAGAUGCAGGGUAACAACUGCAAUCCAUUCAUGGGAGCCGUGUUUAUCUUAAAUCAUCGGCAGUGAGAUGAGGAUCAUGUCAGCCUUCAUACCUUUGAUGAUGAUCCCAGGCUGCAACAGUGACACAUAGAACUGGAUUCAGUAACUAACUACAGAUUCCAUCAACCAGGACUAGUAAAGUGAAAGGCAGAAAUUGGGAGGAGGGGCUUCUUUCUUGCUUAUAAAACUUUAUUUGGUUGUGUUGAGUAUGUGCACGUAUGUAUGAAAUCCCAUAAAGCAGUCUUCUUAGGAACAAGCCAACAUGCCACAAUGUAGGAGAUCUUUGGAGCACUGGCCUAAAUGGCAGAGAGCUCAAGGGACUCCGCUUUGUACGAGGCAUGAUUUGUACCACCACCACUAUCCCUGUUUCAGAGCACUGUUGAAUUGUUCCAAACCUGGAUUUCUAUGUCAGCUCCUUGUCUACAGUACUUGACUGAUAAAUGCUAGUUUCUGAAAUCU